rnacentral:rRNA from 1 species
UACGGAGGGUGCAAACGUUGUCCGGAUUUACUGGGCGUAAAGCGCAUGUAGGUGGCCUUAUAAGUGAAUGAUUAAGACCAACGCUUAACGUUGGAACUGUUGUUCAUACUGUUUGGCUGGAGGGUGGCAGGGGAGCAUGGAACUUUGAGUGUAGGAGUGAUAUCCGUAGAUAUUCAAAGGAACACCAAUGGCGAAGGCAGUGCUCUGG